rnacentral:rRNA from 1 species
CCACAAGUCUCUGCGAAGCCGAAAGGCGAUGUAUAGGGGCUGACACCUGCCCAGUGCCGGAAGGUUAAGGGGAGGGGUUAGCGUAAGCGAAGCUCAGAACCGAAGCCCCGGUGAACGGCGGCCGUAACUAUAACGGUCCUAAGGUAGCGAAAUUCCUUGUCGGGUAAGUUCCGACCCGCACGAACGGUGUAACAACUAGAGCACUGUCUCAACGAAGGACCCGGUGAAAUUGAAAUAGGCGUGAAGAUGCGUCUUACCCGCAGCAGGACAAAAAGACCCCGUGGAGCUUUACUGCAGCUUGGCAUUGAGUUUGGGCAUAGUCUGUGUAGGAUAGGUGGGAGGCGGAGAAGCUGGGGCGUCAGCCUCGGUGGAGCCGACAGUGAAAUACCACCCUGACUCUGUCUAGACCCUAACCCCACACCGUAAACCGGGUGGGGGACCGUGCCAGGUGGGCAGUUUGACUGGGGCGGUCGCCUCCUAAAAGGUAACGGAGGCGCCCAAAGGUUCCCUCAGGCUGAAUGGAAACCAGCCGGAGAGUGUAAAGGCACAAGGGAGCUUGACUGCAAGACCAACGCGUCGAGCAGAGUCGAAAGACGGGCUUAGUGAUCCCACGGUACCGGGUGGAAGGGCCGUGGCUUACCGGAUAAAAGCUACCCCGGGGAUAACAGGCUGGUGAAGUCCAAGAGUUCACAUCGACGACUUCGCUCGGCACCUCGAUGUCGGCUCAUCGCAUCCUGGGGCUGGACAAGGUCCCAAGGGUCGGGCUGUUCGCCCGUUAAAGCGGUACGCGAGCUGGGUUCAGACCGUCGUGAGACAGGUCGGUCUCUAUCCGCUGUGGGCGUAAGGGAUUUGAGAGGAGCUGCCCCUAGUACGAGAGGACCGGGGUGGACAGACCGCUAGUGUGCCAGUUGUCGUGCCAACGGCAUCGCUGGGUAGCUAUGUCUGGCAGAGAUAACCGCUGAAAGCAUCUAAGUGGGAAACUCGCCUCAAGAUGAGAUCCCUCAUCCGCAAGGAGUAAGGCCGCAGGGAGACUACCUGCUUGAUAGGCGGCAGGUGUAAGUGCAGCAAUGCAUUCAGCCAAGCCGUACUAAUGGCCGAGGGCUUAACCUG